rnacentral:rRNA from 1 species
GACGUAGGAGGCGAGCGUUGUCCGGAUUCAUUGGGCGUAAAGAGCUCGUAGGCGGUUCGGCAAGUCGGGUGUGAAAUUUCGAGGCUCAACCUCGAAACGCCACUCGAUACUGCUGUGACUGGAGUCCGGUAGAGGAGUGCGGAAUUCCUGGUGUAGCGGUGAAAUGCGCAGAUAUCAGGAGGAACACCAACGGCGAAGGCAGCACUCUGGGCCGGUACUGACGCUGAGGAGCGAAAGCGUGGGGAGCAAACAGG